GAAGGAAAGAACAGGAAGGGAGCACACACAGCACUAUCAAGUGGAGAAUUUUCUGACACAUUUUCAGCCUCUCAUAGAAGUGCUGGUUGGAAGGGACCUCUCAAGCUCGUCCAGUCCAGCUGCCUCCUUAAAGCAGGACUGUUACUGAUACUAUGUUAGGUUGCUUAUGGCUUUCUUCAGUCAAGCCUCAAAGUCUGUACAAGAUGGAGACCCCAUGGUGUGAGCCAUGCCAUGGACUGUUUUAGCAGCAAAGGAACAUUAAUUCCUGGCCAAAGCAGAGAUGCGAUUAAACUGGGCCCACCUACCACAUGAGUGUGCAUGCAAAUGGAAGAGAAUGAUGUCUGGCCUCAAGAAAAGGGAACACGGCAGCUGAUUUCUUCCAGGAAGUCCUGUCAAGGGUGUGUCAGUUGGCAAGAAGGAAAACUUGAGCAUGGAGGACGCACGGUGCUGUGGAAGGAAAAUUCUCCAUCUGCAUGUCUGAGAAGCUGCAUCAGUGAUGGGAGAGAAAUGAAACUGCUUUAUUCAUGGGACACACUCCUACAUGGGGAGAUACCCCUGUGAAGACAGCACUGCAUCCCAUGACUUCCUUCAUAAAUUACAAGAUACGCUUUAAGCUCCUUAUGGAAUUGAUCAGUUAAUUAAUCAGUUUAUCUGCCUCUGCCCUAGAUUUAAAUUUAAAUCUUUGUCGCAAUUCCAUUCAAAUCUCUUAAGCUCUGCUGAAAAAAUCAGUAAGCAGAAAGACUGGUAGCCUGUAAAUUACUUCUCAUGCAAUAAGGUCCAUUUGGGUUAUUGAACUUUUUGUGUUAUUUGGAGAUGCUCUUGCACCUGCAGAGGCUAAAUCCAUUCUUGAUUACUGUAACAAUUGUGCAAGUGAAGGAAUUGGGUAAUCUCGUAGUGAUGCAAACUAUGUAGUUUUCUAUGAAGGCAUUAGCAAAGAGUUGCAGGCAUUCAGAAUUAAUUCCAAUAAUGAGCUGGGAUUUAAAAUCUAAAUACUUGGUUUUCUAGCUGCAUUGCAAAUUCAUCCCCAGAAUCCACUCUGUAUUACUCAUCACCUUUUGCACUCUUUAACAAUGAUAAUGGAUUUUUUAAUACACGCAG